AUUAUUAUUAUUAUUAUUAUGAAUGAAAGCACUCUAGAAACAUUGUAUAUCACUAGCACAAUUCUUAUCAUUAACUAGGUAACUUCUAUAUUUAAUGUCAUUUAACGGCUGUUAGUAUAUUUUUUUCAAUGAUUGAUUGAGAAAUUUAUGUGCAUAAUAGGUUACAUAUAUUUAAUUAGUCCAUUAUUUUGAGGAAACUAUGUCAAUUUAGUUCCAUAUCACAGCUAUCCUAGUGAGGUAGGAUGGGUGUGACAUAAGCUCUUUGUCAACAGAGACAUUGAAGGAUGCUAUAACAUUUUGGUAUGAAAGGUUGAAGACUCAGAAAUUUUUGGACAAUUUUAUCUGAUAGGGAUUCGUGGAAUAAUAUUGACAAUAGUUAUCAAUGACUUGGCAUUUGCUAAACUUGUCAAUGGCCCGUGUGUCGCACAAAGAAAUUAAAUUUGCUUUUCAUCAAAUAGGUGAUGUACAUAGAAUUUUUUAAGUAAAUCUUUGUAAAUAUCUUCCAUUUGUGGCAGCCAUAUGCUAUAACAUUGGAGUUCAAAGGCCACAAUCAAAAGUAGUUUGUAACCUACAGCAGCUAAAGGGGUGGGAGGAAAGAGAAGAGAAAUAAUUGAAAGUAAAGGAAUGAGGGAACACAGAGGAUCAAAGAAAAUGAAUGCCGGGUCACCCCAAAG
rnacentral:misc_RNA from 1 species